rnacentral:rRNA from 1 species
GAUGAACGCUAGCGGCAGGCUUAACACAUGCAAGUCGAGGGGUAACAUUUGGAGCUUGCUUCAAGAUGACGACCGGCGCACGGGUGCGUAACGCGUAUAGAACCUACCUUCAACUAAGGAAUAGCCUCGAGAAAUUGGGAUUAAUGCCUUAUAAUAUAUUCGAUUCGCAUGUUUUGAAUAUUAAAGAUUUAUUGGUUGAAGAUGGCUAUGCGUCUUAUUAGCUAGUUGGUAAGGUAAUGGCUUACCAAGGCUACGAUAAGUAGGGGUCCUGAGAGGGAGAUCCCCCACACUGGUACUGAGACACGGACCAGACUCCUACGGGAGGCAGCAGUGAGGAAUAUUGGACAAUGGAGGCAACUCUGAUCCAGCCAUGCCGCGUGUAGGAAGACUGCCUUAUGGGUUGUAAACUACUUUUGUAUAGGAAGAAUUGCAGUUACGUGUAACUGUUUGACGGUACUAUAAGAAUAAGGAUCGGCUAACUCCG